CUUAUUUCCCCCUUUUGGUCUCGCACUCUUCGUUAUCCAUUCCAUGGAAGUGGAACCCUCGGAGUCGUCGUCCUUCCCCUUUCCUUCGAGUUCGAGGGCUAGGGUUUUCGCCAAUCCUUCCGACACGCAACCUCUCCCUCCCUUCCCUUCACUCCCAAACCCUAAUCCUAUCCGUCGCUCCUUCUCUGACGUCUCCGCCUCUGCUCCCAUGGAUUAUAGAUAUCGAGCCGCGGAAGACCGCGAUCGCUUGCUCUUCUCCUCCUCGUCCUCCGCCUCCUUCAAUGGCUAUUUCACCGAAAAGGCAUUGCGCGCGGGCUACAUUGACGUGGUUGGAGACAUCAGAAGAGGCGAUUUAAUCCAUCCGAUCCCGUCCAGAGAAGCCCUGCGGAGAGAGCUCCAGAAGGAGCUGAUCCGGGAGGAAACUCAUUGCGAGGGAUAUCGCUCAAAGGAGGAUCUUGGAGGAAGAAGUUAGGAGGGAGUUGGAGCUCGAGCGCGCGAUGGCCACGAGAUGGCUUCAGAUGGAGAGGUACUCCUCGGUGGCGAGGGCCUGGGUGCACCCUGAGGCGGGCCUCGGGCGUGGGAUGCAGUGUUGUCCGGAAGCUAGAAUAGGGGACAGGUUUCGGCCCCCUCGGGUGCCUCCGUAUCCAGAAGAUAAGGUUCGCGAGUGGUCACCUCCACCUCCAGUUCCUUCCAAACCGGUGGUGGGAAGGAAGCUGCCUCUGCCUCAGCAUCAGCCUGAGGUCACUGAAUGUGAUAUGUUGUUUUAGGUAGUAUUCAUCUGGCAACAUGAGAAGACAUGCAAAUGAGAAGAGAAAGGAACUGAUUUGUCAACCAUGAAAAACUUCCUUCUCAUCAAAGGGAGCCUACUUUACUCACUAUCCUUUGUUUUAUCGGUCAUGGGUAGCUUAUACCAUCAAAGCCCAAAUUAUCUGGGAUUAAGAGAACAGCAGUGGCUGUUACUGGAGGCAGUGAAUUUCCUAUGCCAUCCCAGAAGGAUUGGAGUUGUGCUCUCUGUCAGGUGAGUGCGACCAGCAAGCAGGGCCUGGAUGAACGCCUCUGAGGCAAAAAAACACAGAGCCAAUCGAGAAGCACUAAUUGAAGGCAAGAAACCCAAAGCCACAGAAGCACCAUUUGGUGCCAACAAAAUCUUAAAUGGUGAGUCGUUGACAGCAGGGGGCCUGUGAAGAAUUGAAGAGAAGACAAGCAGCAGCAGACAGUUCAGAAGACGAGCUACUUCUGUGACCUUUGCAAGGUGAAAUGCAACAGCGAGGCCAUGUUGACCUCUCACCUCCAUGGGAAGAAACAUAUUGGCCCAAGUUGAGGAGUCGAGGAAGGAUGGCAAACCCAUGAUGCCAGCCGGUGCUGGAAAGAAGGUUAAAACAAAUUAAACAGCAAAGAGGGAGGAGAUAAGAGGAAGACGAUAAAGGCAGAAGCAGAUAACGUUCAACGAUACCAGGAGCCAGAAUGCUUGAGUUGCUGAAAAGGUGGCAAAUCUCUCUGAUUGAAAGACCAAGAGCAACAGAUUUUUUUAUGUCUGACGCCUAGCCUUGAGGACACUGUUGCGACCUGGCAUGGGCCUUUGGUGCAUAAUUUUAUUUUUUUAAAGUUCAGAACUAUAUCUUAAUUGGAUCUGUUAAGUCAGGGAAUGAUUUGGUGAAAGCAUAUGUCAAAAAUUUAAAUUUUACCAUGGAACUUACA